rfam:Tetrapisispora blattae CBS 6284 chromosome 1, complete genome
GCUUUGGUAGCUCAGUCGGAAGAGCGUCAGUCUCAUAAUCUGAAGGUCGAGAGUUCGAACCUCCCCCAGAGCA